GCAUAGCCGAGUUGAGAGACUGAUCGGCCACAUUGGGACUGAGACACGGCCCAAACUCCUACGGGAGGCAGCAGUAGGGAAUCUUCCACAAUGGACGCAAGUCUGAUGGAGCAACGCCGCGUGAGUGAAGAAGGUUUUCGGAUCGUAAAGCUCUGUUGUUGGUGAAGAAGGAUGGAGGUAGUAACUGGCCUUUAUUUGACGGUAAUCAACCAGAAAGUCACGGCUAACUACGUGCCAGCAGCCGCGGUAAUACGUAGGUGGCAAGCGUUGUCCGGAUUUAUUGGGCGUAAAGCGAGCGCAGGCGGAAGAAUAAGUCUGAUGUGAAAGCCCUCGGCUUAACCGAGGAACUGCAUCGGAAACUGUUUUUCUUGAGUGCAGAAGAGGAGAGUGGAACUCCAUGUGUAGCGGUGGAAUGCGUAGAUAUAUGGAAGAACACCAGUGGCGAAGGCGGCUCUCUGGUCUGCAACUGACGCUGAGGCUCGAAAGCAUGGGUAGCGAACAGGAUUAGAUACCCUGGUAGUCCAUGCCGUAAACGAUGAGUGCUAAGUGUUGGGAGGUUUCCGCCUCUCAGUGCUGCAGCUAACGCA
rnacentral:rRNA from 1 species